UAAUUUUUAGUGACAGGAUUGAACUCACAGCCUUGUUCAUCAUGCAAGUGCUAGCUCUCACUUGGAGCCACACUCCAAGCCUUAUUUUCCUCAUUUUGACUCUAAGAAGCUGAGAUUCAGAGAGGCCAAGUGACUCUCCUAAGGCGGUCCAGCUACUAAGAGGUGAGAAUUGUGUGUGCUGACUUAGGUUGUGCUGUGUGACCCAACCUGAAAAUCUCUAACCAACAAAAUGAACCAUGGUCGUUAAUGGCUGGACAGCCUAUAUAAAGGACGUGGAAGAAGGAAGCGUGGUCUUUUUGCUGCUUGCUCUCGCUCUCACUGGUGAGUCCGUUCCUUUUGUUAGCAUUCGAGGCGACUUCUUCUGGAUUCCAGUGUAAACUGAAGACCAGCUGAGACGUCCAGAUGCAUGAACUGAGUCCUUGGACUUUCCAUCAGGAGACAACCAUUGUUGGAUGAGCUGGAC